rnacentral:tRNA from 1 species
UCCCAGGUGACUCAGACAGUAAAGAAUCUGCUUGCAAUGCAGGAGACCCAGGUUCGAUCCCUGGGUUGGGAA